UCAAGUGAAUAAGCGUACACGGUGGAUGCCUUGGCAGCCAGAGGCGAUGAAGGACGUAGUAGCCUGCGAUAAGCUUCGGGGAGUCGGCAAACAGACUUUGAUCCGGAGAUUUCCGAAUGGGGAAACCCACCUGUCAUAAGGCAGGUAUCACAUACUGAAUACAUAGGUAUGUGAGGCGAACGCGGGGAACUGAAACAUCUAAGUACCCGUAGGAACAGAAAUCAAUUGAGAUUCCGUCAGUAGCGGCGAGCGAACGCGGAUUAGCCCUUAAGUUUGAGACUGAUUAGGAGAACGGCUUGGGAAGGCCGGCCAUAGUGGGUGAUAGCCCCGUAUCCGAAAAUCUGAUCAAGUGAAAUCGAGUAGGUCGGAGCACGUGAAACUUUGACUGAAUGUGGGGGGACCAUCCUCCAAGGCUAAAUACUCCUGGCUGACCGAUAGUGAACCAGUACCGUGAGGGAAAGGCGAAAAGAACCCCGGAGAGGGGAGUGAAAUAGAACCUGAAACCGUGUACGUACAAGCAGUCGGAGCCCACAUGUGGGGUGACGGCGUACCUUUUGUAUAAUGGGUCAGCGACUUAAUUUCAGUAGCGAGGUUAACCGUAUAGGGGAGCCGUAGGGAAACCGAGUCUUAAUAGGGCGUAUAGUUGCUGGGAUUAGACCCGAAACCGGGCGAUCUAUCCAUGGGCAGGUUGAAGAUGCGGUAACACGCAUUGGAGGACCGAACCGACUACCGUUGAAAAGUUAGCGGAUGACCUGUGGAUCGGAGUGAAAGGCUAAUCAAGCUCGGAGAUAGCUGGUUCUCCCCGAAAGCUAUUUAGGUAGCGCCUCGGACGAAUACCACAGGGGGUAGAGCACUGUUUCGGCUAGGGGGUCAUCCCGACUUACCAACCCGAUGCAAACUCCGAAUACCUGUGAGUACUAUCCGGGAGACACACGGUGGGUGCUAACGUCCAUCGUGAAGAGGGAAACAACCCAGACCGCCAGCUAAGGUCCCCAAAUACCAGUUAAGUGGGAAACGAUGUGGGAAGGCUCAGACAGCUAGGAGGUUGGCUUAGAAGCAGCCAUCCUUUAAAGAAAGCGUAAUAGCUCACUAGUCGAGUCGGCCUGCGCGGAAGAUGUAACGGGGCUCAAACUGGUUACCGAAGCUGCGGCUGUGCACGCAAGUGCACGGGGUAGGGGAGCGUUCUGUAAGCCUGCGAAGGUGUGUCGAGAGGCAUGCUGGAGGUAUCAGAAGUGCGAAUGCUGACAUGAGUAACGACAAUGGGGGUGAAAAACCCCCACGCCGGAAGACCAAGGGUUCCUGCGCAACGCUAAUCGGCGCAGGGUGAGUCGGCCCCUAAGGCGAGACCGAAAGGUGUAGUCGAUGGGAAACGGAUUAAUAUUUCCGUACCUUGGAUAGCUGCGAUGGAGAGACGGAGAAGGCUAGGUGAGCCGGGCGACGGUUGUCCCGGUUUAAGCAUGUAGGCAGUGGGAUUAGGCAAAUCCGGUCCCACAAUGCCGAGACGCGACGACGACUGCCCUUUUAGGGCGGGAAGUCAUUGAUGCCCUGCUUCCAGGAAAAUCUUCUAAGCUUCAGGCUAUUCGAGACCGUACCCCAAACCGACACAGGUGGUCAGGUAGAGAAUACCAAGGCGCUUGAGAGAACUCGGGUAAAGGAACUAGGCAAAAUGGUGCCGUAACUUCGGGAGAAGGCACGCCGGUGGUAUGUGACGCCCUUCGCGGGUUGAGCAGAAGCCGGUCGAAGAUACCAGGCCCCUGCGACUGUUUAUUAAAAACACAGCACUGUGCAAACACGAAAGUGGACGUAUACGGUGUGACGCCUGCCCGGUGCCGGAAGGUUAAUUGAUGGGGUUAGCGCUUGCGCGAAGCUCUUGAUCGAAGCCCCGGUAAACGGCGGCCGUAACUAUAACGGUCCUAAGGUAGCGAAAUUCCUUGUCGGGUAAGUUCCGACCUGCACGAAUGGCGUAACGAUGGCCACACUGUCUCCACCCGAGACUCAGUGAAAUUGAAAUUGCGGUUAAGAUGCCGUAUACCCGCGGCUAGACGGAAAGACCCCGUGAACCUUUACUAUAGCUUCACAGUGAACUUUGAGCAUGUUUGUGUAGGAUAGCUGGGAGGCUUUGAAACCAGGACGCCAGUUCUGGUGGAGCCAACCUUGAAAUACCAGCCUGACCUGUUUGAGGUUCUAACUUCGACCCCUUAUCGGGGUUAAGGACACUGUGUGGUGGGUAGUUUGACUGGGGCGGUCUCCUCCCAAAGCGUAACGGAGGAGCACAAAGGUGGGCUAAGCAUGGUCGGACAUCAUGCGGUUAGUGUAAUGGCACAAGCCCGCUUAACUGCGAGACAGACACGUCGAGCAGGUACGAAAGUAGGUCAUAGUGAUCC
rnacentral:rRNA from 1 species